rnacentral:rRNA from 1 species
GAUGAACGCUAGCGAUAGGCUUAACACAUGCAAGUCGAGGGACCGGCGCACGGGUGCGUAACGCGUAUGCCACUUGCCUCACAGAGGAGGAUAACCCGUCGAAAGACGGACUAAUACAGCGUCCUGUGAGAUAGGCAUGCGUCCCAUUAGCUAGUUGGUGAGGUAACGGCUCACCAAGGCAACGAUGGGUAGGGGAACUGAGAGGCGGAACCCCCACACUGGUAAUGCGACACGGACCAGACGCGUACGGGACGAAGCAGUGAGGAAUAUGGGUCAAUGGGGGAGAGCCUGAACCAGCCAAGUCGCGUGAAGGAUGACUGGCUAUGGAUUGUAAACUUCUUGUGUAGGGGAAUAUGUACCCUACGAAUAAGCAUCGGCUAACUCCGUGCCAGCCGCCGCGGUAAUUC